CGAACCACAGAAGUCCAGAACUCUCGACCCAGACAACGGGUAGUUAACCCGAAAGGAAGACCCGGCGGUAGCUCCACUGUCGUAGAACCGGUGUCGUUCGGCUCGUCUCGACGGUGCCGACGUUCAGAUAGCCUCCUUUUGUUCAUACGUUAAUGGAGGAAGGAGUAUCGAAGCCUGGAAGCUUCGGGUCCUCGGCGAAUCUUUAGAAAUUCUGGCGACUUCGGCCGUUACAGGCGAUGCAUGAGGUGAGGAAAUCCUUCUCCUCUUCAUGCUCUACGUUCUAUUAUAAUCAAUUUUGGUUUUUGACUGGGUUUUGAUGGAAUUAUGUUUUGGGGUGUCGUUGGCCUCCUCCGAGACCACCAUCCACGGUGGCGAUUACAGGGCAUCUGGGUUCGUUUCCGACGUCUUGAAACCUCCAUUGAUGUCCGGUGGGGCUCAAUUGAUUGAAUUGGCUAAAGUGGUGAGUUCGGGUAUGUUUUGCCGUCGUGCUUUUCAUUCCGGCGGCGACUUUGGAGCUUUUUGGUUCGAAUAUGAUACUGUCUCGGGUCCUGGCGCCGGCAUUGAAGCUUGGGCAUGUUGAAAAAUUGAGAUUGUGUUGAAUUGGAUCGAAGAGGCGAAACGUUGGCUUUUUCCUCUUAUGGAGUUUCUCCGCUCCCACCAAAAGAUUGAACAGGAGAAUAUCGGCGUCUUUCGAUGUUCACGACGAAGUCCUCUUCCGGGUGUCCGCAUUACUUGAAUAGUAAUUCGUCGUUUUGAUGCAUUCCUCGUUGAAGAAUUGGGUGUUCGGGAAUUUUGGUGAAUUAUGUUGGGGAUUUAUGGGAUUCGGGUUUUGGUUAUGUUUGAUUACUAUUGAGUUUUGAUGCUCUUCUUGAAAUCUCAUGUUUGGUUGCUGGGAAAGUUCACGAAGUUGAUGAAUACCUUCCAUAGCUGGGGUCCCACUCGUUUUUUUUUUUCCCCAAACCCACGCUAACGUCAGCGACCAUCUCACAAUAACAGAAAAUUGACGGCCCUCGUCGCUCCGGGACCCACUCAGCCAGAGAUCAACGGUAGCUAGCCCCAGGCUGGUGAGAAUUUUCGUCGAUGAAGAUGGAUAAGACCCAUUUCUGAUGACAUUGAUGAUGAAGAUGGUUCACUGGAUUGAUUGUUUAAGGAUUCAAUAAUUAGUGACUGUUCUUAUAAAGGUCAGGUGUCGAAAUUUUAGAUGGAUACAGGUAAGGGACAGGGAAAUGGGGACAGAGGAUUUCCUCCUUUGGUUGGUUGCAGCUAAAAUUGUCCUAAAUUAGCAGAGCACAUGCUAAUACUGUUUGGUGCCUGCAAUUUGGAAUGUUAGUUAGACCUUAUAAUUUCAACUUCCCCUUCUGUUUUCUGUAGUAUAAUGUAACAUGAUUUAAACACAUUCUGUCUGCUUCUGCUUUCCAAGCACGCACACAGCACUCAUCAUAGUUUCAACGUGAUCAACUGGUAGUGGCUCAGCCGGUUGAGACAACUAUGGGGUCAUCAGAGCAGUACCAGCCGCUACUUCUCAGACUCAACUCUCAUUCCCGGAUUCCUGACUUGUCAUCCGCCGCAAUUGAAGAAUUUUUGGAGCAAAGGCCUAUAGCAUUGAGGUGGGUCUAACCUCAGGACUGGUAUAUAGAAUCCAUGCCAGCUCCUAACUAUUGCUUUCGCUCUCAUGUUGUGGUAUGUAUAUACAUUCAAGUUUUUAGCCUUUCCUAGCUUUUUCUUUUUGUAUACCUAUGAAACUGAGUUUAAUAAUGCUUCGAUGUGGUUUGGAGAUUUGGUACACUCAAGGGUUACUGCUUAUAUCAAGGCUCCUAGCCUACCCUAGCUAGAAUCUCACUGGAUCACUCCAUUUCUAGCUGCAUAAACUACUUGAACUGGGACAGGCAAUUUAUGCUAGGCCUUGCCGCUGCAGCAAGGUUUGUAACAAAUCUUGGGAGUUUUCGUUCUUCUUAGCUCUACUUAGCUAUAUAAAUUUGAGACCCAACCCGCAUCGGAACCGUAUUAAACGGUUUUCCUUUUUUUUACACCGCAACCGUUUUUUUUUCCGGAUGGGCUGAUAUUUUCGGUUGCACCAAAAUCCGGUUCGGUGCGGGCUGGUUUCGGUGUGGGCCGGUUUUAAUAUUUAUCUUCAAAGUCAGGCCCAAUUAUGCGGGGCUGAAUUUUUUUUUUUCCUGAUCAGGCCCAAACUAGCUGCAAUAAUUUUCUUAUUUCCAAACACAAAAAGUCUCACUUCUUCUGCAAAACUAAAGUUGGAACUAGCUGCAAAACCAAAGUCUCAAAACUAGACCAUGCAAAACUGCAAGUAAAUUUUGCAACCACUCAAAGUCUCAAACACCAAC